AUUGAACGCUGGCGGCAGGCUUAACACAUGCAAGUCGAGCGGGGGAAGGUAGCUUGCUACCGGACCUAGCGGCGGACGGGUGAGUAAUGCUUAGGAAUCUGCCUAUUAGUGGGGGACAACAUCUCGAAAGGGAUGCUAAUACCGCAUACGUCCUACGGGAGAAAGCAGGGGAUCUUCGGACCUUGCGCUAAUAGAUGAGCCUAAGUCGGAUUAGCUAGUUGGUGGGGUAAGGGCCUACCAAGGCGACGAUCUGUAGCGGGUCUGAGAGGAUGAUCCGCCACACUGGGACUGAGACACGGCCCAGACUCCUACGGGAGGCAGCAGUGGGGAAUAUUGGACAAUGGGGGGAACCCUGAUCCAGCCAUGCCGCGUGUGUGAAGAAGGCCUUAUGGUUGUAAAGCACUUUAAGCGAGGAGGAGGCUACUCUAGUUAAUACCUAGGGAUAGUAGACGUCACUCGCAGAAUAAGCACCGGCUAACUCUGUGCCAGCCGCCGCCGUAA
rnacentral:rRNA from 1 species